rfam:Vibrio proteolyticus NBRC 13287 DNA, contig: VPR01S05.
AUUCCUACUAUUACUGCCCGCGACUAUUCAUAUAAUGAUGGGCAGUAA